rnacentral:lncRNA from 1 species
CUGUCAUAAAGCAUUUAAUAACUUACAUGCCUCUAGAUGAAGCUGGAAGCUACUUUUCUACUCAUGAUUAUCAAUUCUAGAUAAGCUAUAGAUCUUAAAGUAAACUUAGAACCUGAUAGCACUCUUAAAAGCAUCACUUGAAAGUUCUGUCUAUCACUUUAUCCAGUGCUUGAUACUUUCCUAUUCCCUCACAUUACCAUUCAUUUUUUUUCUGUGUUAGCAGUUUCAACAGCCAGUCAGAAUAUAAACUCUCCCACUCCCCAGUUUACAAUUCACAUAAAUCUUUCUGCACUUCCUUCCUCUGCAGAUGGAGAUAUACUGACCCAUAAGUCAUGGGGAUCUAUCUGCAUUCUUUCCUCAGUCACUUUUCCUCAAGGAAAGAUAUCAACAUUUGAAACUCAGCAUGAUUGGGUCAGCAGAAGAAAAAAUUUUCCUGCAGCAGCAAGGAGUCUUCAGAAUCAGGCAGCCUUCAAAAAUUUCCACUCCAGUAGUUCCUCUUAAGAGUUCACGGAGCCAGAAACACCAGGCAAAUGUGGAGGAAUAAAGCCUUCAGCUAUAAGCA